rnacentral:rRNA from 1 species
AUUGAACGCUGGCGGCAGGCCUAACACAUGCAAGUCGAGCGGAUGAAGGGGGCUUGCUCCUGGCUUCAGCGGCGGACGGGCGGGUAAUGCCUAGGAAUCUGCCCGGUAGUGGGGGAUAACGUCCGGAAACGGGCGCUAAUAUAGCAUACGUCCUGAGGGUGAACGUGGGGGAUCUUAGGACCGCACGCUAUCAGAUGAGCCUAGGUCGGAUGAGCUAGUUGGUGGGGUAAAGGCCUACGAAGGCGGCGAUCCGUAACUGGUCUGAGAGGAUGAUCAGUCACACUGGAACUGAGAGACGGACCAGACUCCUACGGGAGGCAGCAGUGGGGAAUAUUGCACAAUGGGCGGAAGCCUGAUGCAGCAACGCCGCGUGCGGGAUGACGGCCUUCGGGUUGUAAACCGCUUUCGCCUGUGACGAAGCGUGAGUGACGGUAAUGGGUAAAGAAGCACCGGCUAACUACGUG